rnacentral:rRNA from 1 species
GACGAACGCUGGCGGCGUGCUUAACACAUGCAAGUCGAACGGAAAGACCCUGCUUUUGUGGGGUGCUCGAGUGGCGAACGGGUGAGUAACACGUGAGUAACCUGCCCUUGACUUUGGGAUAACUUCAGGAAACUGGGGCUAAUACCGGAUAGGAGCUCCUGCUGCAUGGUGGGGGUUGGAAAGUUUCGGCGGUUGGGGAUGGACUCGCGGCUUAUCAGCUUGUUGGUGGGGUAGUGGCUUACCAAGGCUUUGACGGGUAGCCGGCCUGAGAGGGUGACCGGCCACAUUGGGACUGAGAUACGGCCCAGACUCCUACGGGAGGCAGCAGUGGGGAAUAUUGCACAAUGGGCGGAAGCCUGAUGCAGCAACGCCGCGUGCGGGAUGGCGGCCUUCGGGUUGUAAACCGCUUUCGCCUGUGACGAAGCGUGAGUGACGGUAAUGGGUAAAGAAGCACCGGCUAACUACGUG